GUGUUGGCUUCGGCAGCACAUAUACUAAAUUGGAACGAUACAGAGAAGAGAGAUCUGCAUGGCCCCUGUGUAAGGAUGUCCAGCAAAUCCUGUGACGCUUUCCACAUUUUA
ensembl:snRNA U6 U6 spliceosomal RNA